AAAAAAUUGGCUUUGACGCCAACGGGCGGGCUUGGCCCUAGGGAAGUAGAAAAACAAAUCCCGGAGCGUUGCUGGGACCAGAGUAAAACCUCGGGUCCGGGUAUCGUCUUAGCUGUUUGAGGUUCUAAAAAGCUUUCACGUCUUAAGACAAACACAUGCGGGUGAAGAGAGGCGUCAGCGGACUCUUGGAAGAGAUGAGGAAAAAGCCUCUACGCAACAAAGCUGAGUGUGCUGUCUCUCCUGCUAAGCCGCUGGCUGAUAGAGCCUCCUCCUGCCUUCAAGUUCUCUGAAGUCCAUGAGACAGUGUCAGAUUCAGGGAUCAUAGACUCCUCUGAGCCUGAAACCAAGUCAAGAAACCAACUUGGAAAAACUAGGAAAUUUCCCCAGUGUCACACAGCUAAUAAACCAGUGGUAGAGUUGGAUUUGAAGCCAGGUGAAUUUACUCCUGAGCCCACCCAACAUUGCUUCCCCCGGAAAUGAUGUUCAUAGGAAGGUAAGCAGUUUAGUUUGGGGGAGAGUCCUGUAGGGUGGGCAGGAUAGAUAUGGAAUAUCAUGACAUGCAAGCAAUGCUUGAGUUAUUGAAACCAUUUUUAAAAGGUGAAAAGUCAUUUUUGGCUAUAGAAACACUGGAAGGGAUUCGAAUUGUCAUUGAAUUACAGAACUGGCAGUAAUAAAUGUCAGACAACUAUCUUUGAUAUAUUUAAUUGGCUACGUUAAUCAUAAAAUACUGACGGAAAAGAGGUGAUUUAGAAUGCCUGGCCAGAGUGAAAGCUUUUUUUUCAACCACUUAUAUAAAAUUUAAAGUAAAGUUACUACCACCUCCUUUAAGAGGUAUUUGGAGAUUGUUGCAUCCAGCCUCCCUGGCCUUCUUCCUUGAAUGCUCUAAACACAAUCUCACCUCAGGGCCUUUGCACCUGCACCUGCUAUUUGUUAUCACUGCCAGGAAUUCUCUUCACCCAAAUGUGUAUAUGGCAUAUCCCUCACAGCAAAGCCUCCCUUGACCCACCCCAUACAAAGGAUCGGUCCCACUAACACCCACCACUUCCUAUCCGCUUUGCUCUACUUUAUUUUUCUGUCUAGCAUUUGUUACUGCCUGACAUAUAUAUUUUGAAUUGAUUUAUUUCUGUUCUCUCUUCUUCCCUCCCUCCCUCUCUAAGCCCAUGGAGGCAGGAACUUUGUACAGUAUGAUAACCCAGGCACGUAGAAAAUGCCUGGCACAUAGAUGACCACUAGAUAUUUAUUGAAUGAAUAAAUGAAUGCUCUGCCUCCUACCUGUUGAAAACACAUCUUCUCUUAAAAUUCUAGCUCCACAUCCAGAAGUUUAGACAAUGAGCAGCAAUUAGAUAGGUGUCCCUCACAAUAAUUUCCAGGUACCCCAAUUUUAACUUUCAAAACUGCUCACAAAAUAGUAUUUGAAGACAAAAGUAGUCCCAGCAGCGUUCUAAUCCUUCCAACUAACCCUCUACCAGUUUAGAAAAACUCCUGGCAAUCCUCCUAGUUAACUGCAUGCCACUUACUGCUGUAUGUUACAGGCCCUCCAGUUUCUGUUGAAGCUGAGUAUCGUUGCCAUCUCCUGAUCACUCAGUUUAAAGUCAAAGACCUGGAAAGGCAGGAAUUUCAAUACAUCAUUGGUAAGGCAGUUACUGUUGUGGUUGGAGACUGCCAGCCAUUCUAGCAGGGGGUGAGCUUACAUUCACAGCACAGACAGGCCACAGGAGUUUUUCCCAUUAUGUCCAUGGGAUACCAAUUUCUGAAAUUAGGUCCUACGCAAAGACUGCAAUAUUUGUAGUGUUCAGUGUUCCUGGUGGGUGGGGGAAGACCAGGCUUACAGGCACUAAACCCCAGGUGUGGACAGGCCCUGUGCUCCAUGAUAGGUCCUUCCAGAGAACAGUUCUCUAAGGACAGAUAACACCUCCUCUGCUGCUGGGAGGUGAACAGGGAGGCCAGGACAGUGUGCUCUUGUGUGUGGCCCAGGACCUAGCUGCUUAGGGGAAACUGAGGGUCUUUUCAGUAGUGCGAGGCACAGCUGUGCUCAGACCAGACAGGGCUUCACCAGGCACUGCUCCCAGCAUGUCGUUAGCCCAUGGGUCAUUCAUCUCAACUCUACCGAGGUUAGCUCCCUGGGCUGGAAAAUGAUAGGUGGUGGGAAGGGAGGGGGCCCACAGACAUUAACAAGCCUAGUGAGAGGUCUGCAUGUCCCCUACUCCACUGAGGAAUACCAGGGCCGACCAGCUUACCUGAAUGUUCUCAACAAUGCGUGCUGGUGUGACAGACUUGGGGAUCACAAUCACAUUCCUCUGGAUAUGGAAACGGAUCAGAACCUAUGCAGAAAGGGGACAUCAUGUUUCCACUCAGCUACCAGGACCCCUCCUUUUAUGGAAAGGAAGAAUAAAACAUCUCCUCAGCUCACUGUGGCUUCAGCUAUAAUCGCUAAUAUUGACUGAGCUAAGCUAUUAGACAUGUGCCAGUCCUCCGCUUGAUUCUCUCUUUUCACCUUAGGGACAAACCUGUGAUUGUCAGUUUUUAGGAAUAAAGAAAGUGGCCUAGGGGUCAUAAGGCUGAUAAGUGGUAGAGUUGGCAUCUGCACCCAUAUCCCUAAACUCCAAAGGCAUGCUUUGCCGCUGAGCUGUAAGGCUUAACAGGAAGCUCUGAGACAGAAGCUUGUUCCAGUGACAGCUCUUGUGUUUCCUAGAGGUUCCAACAGACUUCAAAGGAAACACGAGGGCUUCAGCUCCUGUUUUCUUCUCCUUUAAGGAGUUAAUUGAGGAUAACACAAGAAAUGAAACAUGAGACUGGAAGAAUGAGUUGCUGGAUAAAAAGAAAAAGAAAAACAUGGUACCUGGGCUGCAGUUUUUUUGUGCUUUGCAGCAAUCUCCUUAAUCUUGGGAUCCUCCAGUAGAGAAGGGUCCUCUGGCUUGGCCCUAGGGGCAGAAAAAGAUAACGAUGUGAACAGUCACCAUGGUUACCAUGUGCAGAUGGACACCACUCCAAUCAGGGUUUCAAGAGUGAUCAUCAGAGCCUCUCCAUCUGGAAGACAGGCAGGAGGACCUGGAAGUUUGGGUCCUUCCCACGGGCUCUCAGCAUUUUGCAAAGGCUGGUUCACCCUUGAACCACUUCACCUGAAGUGGAAAUACUCCCAGAGGGUCAAGCAUGUCACCCUUGUUUGUUUGUGUGUUUAAUUUCCAUUUUUUCCCACUAUCAUCCCAUUUAGGUGUACCAAACACAUUACCUUAGACACAUUUUUCUUUCCAGUGACUUACGGUCUCAUACCAACAUUUACCAAUUAUAAAAUUAUGUUUUUAAGAUUAUCAAGAGAAAGACCCACCCCUUGGAAGUCUCACCAAGGUCUAUCCGGAGAGCCCAGGGGGCUGUAGGCUGUAAUGGUGAUGCCCUUGGAGUGGCAGUACUGGAUCAGUUUCUCCUGCGUGAGGUAGGGGUGACACUCAACCUGCAAUAGCAAACAGUCCUCAAUAUGGGGGAAGGUGGCUUAUUUUUUGAGUUGUUCAUAGGGAGUUCUACAACACAAAAAGACAACCAAGCAAAGGCCAAACACCUGCCCACUGAUAUACUUGCUAACUCACCCAUGAGAUCAGCCUUACACCUCCCCAAAGUAUCCUGAUCACUGACCCCUGAGAUGAGACUCAGUACAUAGCACUGAACUUUCCUCCCAAUAAAACAGGGCAAGACCCUUACCCUUAUACCACACAGAAUUUACCUGGUUAGUCACUGGUUUAUAUUUCAGUCCAGGUUUGUUCAAGAGCCUCUCAAUCUGGAAGUGGUUGAAAUUGGAGAUCCCAAGGGCUUUCACCAGACCCGCAUCCACCAGCUCCUCCAUGGCCUGUCAUAGAAAAGAAUACCUUUUUGGGCAGCCCCAGCAGGACUCCAGGUACCCUGGCUUGCCUUAGUCCUCCCUGGGGCAGAAAUUGCUAAAGGGUCUACUGCAACAGAGUUAGCAGAAGGGUUCACAGGAAGUUUCAGUCCAGGGCCCUUCCAGCCCUACUGCCCCUCCUCAGCCCAAAUAAAACUAGGAGUAACGGGUAAAGAUUUUAUGUGCUUGCCACUCUCACCUUAUACAUAGAGGUACAUAAAAAAUUAUACUCUGUACAUAGAGGAAAUAUGAAAGUUUUGUAAUGCAAAAAUAAAAUAUAAGUCAAAAUUGACAUUUGCAAGUUUAUGAGAUGAUUUUAUUUUUAAACAACCCACAUGAUAGCAGGGAGCUACUGUUGUGUUUGUGCAUUGUACACCCAAACCUGGGUAAGCUGGGUUAGUCAGGAAGAGGCUGCAGCAUGUGGAGAAGUCUCACUUGUGGAUUCUGAGUCAAUCUCUGCCACACCAACCAUGGUUUGCUUUGCAGGAAGGUCAUGCAUCUAGAUUAUGCCCUGGCAGGGGCAGCUGGCCAAGAAGUUGCGUGGUGCUGAAACCUGACCCACUGCCUACAUACCCAACCAUGCUUCCUGCAGAAGUUUCUAUACCCAAGGAAGGGAAUAUUUGUGUACUUAUUAGCCUAUAUUGGGCAUUUUCCAAACUUGCCCAAAGAUAUCAUAUAUGUUAGCAGCACCUCCAAUGCAACAUGUAUUUGUUAGCCAUCUAUUACAUGUCCAGAAGUUGUCAGGAUGUAAAAGUAUAUAAUGUGCUUCCUUCUUCUGGGAUUCUCAUAGUCUGAUUAAAGUGAUAGGGUUCCCUUCUGUGGAAUAAUCAACCAUGACACUGAGGCUGCCUUGAUAACAUGACAGUGGCAUAGACAAAGUCAGGGAGGGCAGAGAAGGAAGAGAUUCACAAAGCCUGCAGUUGUCAGGGGAGACCUUCAGGUAGAGUUUAAACUGAGCCUCAAGAAAAAAAAAAGAAAGAGAAAAGAGGGGAAAAGCAUGAGCAUAUGAGACAGGAAGACAGGAGCAAAGGCUCAGAGGCAGGGAGGAGCAUGAAAUAUUCAGGGAACACUUUAUCCAGCCCUUCUCAACUUUGGCUGCAAUUUGGAACCAGAGAGCUUUAAAAAAUACUGGCUGGAUCACGAGGUCAAGAGAUCGAGACCAUCCUGGUCAACAUGGUGAAACCCCAUCUCUACUAAAAAUACAAAAAAUUAGCUGGACAUGGUGGUGCGCACCUGUAAUCCCAGUUACUCGGGAGGCUGAGGCGGGAGAAUUGCCUGAACCCAGGAGGCGGAGGUUGCGGUGAGCCGAGAUCACACCAUUGCACUCCAGCCUGGGUAACAAGAGUGAAAUUCCAUCUCAAAAAAAAAAAAAAAAAAAAUACUGGCUGGAUGCAGUGCCUCAUGACUGUAAUCUCAGCACUUUGGGAAGCUGAGACAAGAGGACUGAUUGAGGCCAGGUGUUCGAGACCAUCCUGGGCAACAUAGCAGGACCCUGUCUCUACUAAAAAAAAGGAUUGUUUUUGAUUAGCUGGAUGUGGUGGCUUGUACCUAUGAUCCCAGCUACUUUGGAGAAUUGCUUGAGCCCAGGAGUCCGAGGCUGCACUGAGGUCUGAUCAUGCCAUUGUACUCCAGCAUAGGCAACAGAGCAAGACUUUCUCUAAAUUAAAAUCACCCAUGCUGGGUUUCACCCCCAAGAGUUUCUUACCGAUUUUGUCUGAGUUAUAGCCUAGACACUGGGAUUUUUUAACUCAUCAGGUGAUUCUAAUGCAUAGCCAACACUGAGAACCACUAGCGUAGAUGAAGUUAUUCAAAUUGGGCAGUAGAGUUAAGAAGCUAUGAAAUCAUAAGGUUCCCCAAAACUUCUGACUAGGCAAUUAGAUAAAAUAAAAGGUUUUGUGCAUCAUAGGUCAGGUGAAUUUGCCUGUAUUAGAACUUGACUUCUUUAUACAUUUUUUCCUCCUCUCUGCUUCAGGAUAGUCAAUGAGGCUUCUACUGCACUGGCUGUGGAUGUACAUAACAUCCGAUGCUUACAUAUUCAACCCUGCUCCUUUCAAAUCAGAGCCUCUGACCUUGAUCACUGAUAUAUUUUCAUGCCUUUCAAAUGUUUUAUUUAGCAGUCAUUCUUGUAUUCAUUCAGAAGACGUAACACUGUGAGAAGUAGGCUACAUUGACAUACUUGCCAUACUUAAUAUCAUCAUGGGAGCUAGGGCAAAAAAAUGUUAUCAAAUAUAAUGCAAAUGGCCAGGUGUGGUGGCUCACACUUGUAACCCCAGCACUUUGGGAGGCCGAGGCUGGUAGAUCACCUGAGGUCAGGAGUUCAAGACCAGCCUGGCCAACAGGGUGAAACCCCGUCUCUACUAAAAAUAGAAAAAUUAGCCAGGCAUGGUAGCCUAUGCUUGUAAUCCCAGCUACCUGGGGGACUGAGGCAGGAGAAUGGCUUUACUUGGUAGAGGAAGGUGGCAGUGAGCCAAGAUUGUGCCACUCUACUCUAGCCUGGGCAACAGAGUGAGACUCCAUCUCAAAAAAAGAAUGUUGUUCUUGUGGAUUAAUGCUUUUGAACAAGCAAUACACACACACAAAAGCUACAUUUAUUGAAUCAUAUUAAUUCUAAGCAUUUCAGAAAGGUGAGGCUUAAUACAUUUUCACUUGUACAACACAAUACAAACUUGCUACUACGUGCACCCCUGCACAGACAGCUGACAAGGUAACAAGAUCAACUCUUGGAGUCAUAUGUCACUAUUCAUUUAUAACUUAUUCCUCACUUUGUUCUCCACUAGCAUUCGCAAAAGGAUAUCAUGGUAUAACAAAAAUUGACCAGAGAAAACAUUUAUCCCUUCAUUCAAUUUUGCACAUGAAUGCUGUGAAACAAGUCAUGAUUUGAUCUGAGAAGCAGGGCGCUCAGGCUCCCUGAUUUCUGGAUGUGUGUCCACUGCCUGCCAACCACUGUGCUGAUGGCUUUGGUGGUUCAACUUGUGAUUCAGAUGAGUCUGGGUCCAACCAGCUCUGCCACACACAUUGUGAUAUUACCUGGGCAAGUCAUCAACCAAUCGAGGUUUCAAAUGUCAUUCUUUGUAAAUGGGGAUGUUAACCCUGCCUCAUAGGGUUGUAUGAUAAAGUGGGCUUUAUAACUAAUGUUCCUGGCAUGAAAACCAUCUCAAUCUUUAUCACACCCUGAAAGAUAUAUAAUAUUAUUAUGUAUUAUAAGACUUUAUAUUUUUAAGAAGAGAAAACUGAGGCCUACAAGAAUUUAAAAACUUACCCUAGGUUAUUCAGAUGCUAUGUGCAAACCCAGGCCCAAACUCCUUGUUCCAAAUGCCUUCCCCUGGUUUGAGAACAGUAUGUGUAUUCCCCAAAGUGGAGUACAUUGUAUUUCCAGUCUUAUUUGAAGACUCAGUAUUAGCCUUGAAAUAUAAACAGUAUCAGAUGCACCCAAAAGCCAAAGGUGAUGAGGAAGAAAUUAGAAGAGCUAGAGAAUCACAAUGAUGAAAUUAGAAAGCAUCAGGUACAUGGCCUCUUUCAAACCAAUGGGAAGUCUCACAGAUAACUGAGGAUUUCUCUCCCGGCACUUUUAGAGGAAGCUGAAACCUACCUCCCAGGCAUCCAAGAAUGUUGCUUUUCCAGCGAUCACUUUACCUUCAUCAUCUUUGGGAAGAAUGUCGUCCCCAGACUGUAAAUACAGAAUACAAAGUUGACUGGAAUCUGCAUCAGGGCACUGGUUCUAUUCAACAAGGUUUCAGGAUCCUGCCUCUUGCUAAAUACCACAACUGCAUACCACUUUUUCAAGCUCUGGAGUACACACUACAAGAACGAGACUUUAAAUAACAUCUCUACAGCUACUGUAGCAUGUUAAUCCUUAUAUGUUAGAAACUACUGGAUUGACUUUAUUUUUGAGAUGGAGUUUCGCUCUUGUUACCCAGGCUGGAGUGCAAUGGCGCGAUCUCGGCUCACUGCAACCUCCGCCUCCUGGGUUCAGGCAAUUCUCCUGCCUCAGCCUGUUGAGUAGCUGGGAUUACAGGCACGCGCCACCGUGCCCAGCUAAUUUUUUGUAUUUUUAGUAGAGACGGGGUUUCUCCAUGUUGACCAGGAUGGUCUUGAUCUCUUGACCUCGUGAUCCACCCGCCUCGGCCUCCCAAAGUGCUGGGAUUACAGGCAUGAGCCACCGCACCCGGCCCCUACUGGAUUGACUUUAUGAUCUGCCAUUAGUACAUUCCAGAAGCCACCAUUAUCACCAUGGACAUUAACCUCAUACACCUAGAUCCCAUAUACACCCAAGGGCAAACUUUCAUUUCAAUAUUACUUGAUAAGGAUUAGCUCUCCAGGGAGUGGUUUUCUAGGGGAAGAUAGUGACCAGCUUCUAUCCUUGCAGCCUCUAGAAGAGGUGUGGAGUUAGGAAUGGCAAGCCAUCAUCACCCCAGCUGCUUAGGAGGAGAGAGAGCUGGAAAUCUGUCUCUCCCAACCCUCAGGAGCAGUAAGAGCAGAGCGCCAGGCAAUGGGUACCUCGUUGAGUGCUGGCUACCUUCCAGCAUCACCAUACUUGGGCUUUUCUCCAAGAUGCCACUCUUGGGGUGUGCUUUGCUUAAUAAGAUAAUUAAGCCCUGGAAUAUAGUUAUGCAAGAGUAACCCAAGAGAUUUUCUGGGAGGGCAACCCUGGGGUGUGGAAUCAAGACAAAGGUGAUAUGGCAGUUGCAACUUGUCUGGCUGUCAGAAAUCAUGGCUUCUCUCAGACAUAACUGCAAGAAAACUCAGGCAUGUGGUCACCUCAGCAGCACACAUGGCCUCAGCCUCCCUUCCAGGCCAGUGUCUUUCUGCUCCAAGGUCUCUUCUUGACUACCUGCCAUUCCCAAUUAUGAAGCGCAAAGCCUCCUGCUCCAGUCCACACUGCCCCCCAGCCCUUGUGCAGCUGCUAUUUUCUGGCAUCUGUUCAGAAACAAGAGGCUAAGAAAGGGAGCCACUCAAACCUUGAAUCCUUGUGGCCAGACAAUAAGAUAGACGUCUAGAUAGCUCAGUUUCAGGUCCUUGAGGGUCUUCUCACAGGCUUUUCUCACCAAGGGUCUCUCAAAGAAAGUGGCCCACAACUGCAAAGAGUGUGGCAAUGAGCCAUUAAUACUGGGAAAACGAAGGGCCACAUCAUACUCAUUGUCCCUGCUUUUUGAUUUGCACCCUGAUCUAACCUGACACAGGCCAUUUAUAACAAAACUGAUUAAAAUCCAUGAUGCAGUGUGGAAGAUCACCAGGGCUCAGCAUGUCAAUGACAUGUCUGUGUGUGUGUGUGUGUGUGUGUGUGUGUGUGUGUGUGAGAGAGAGAGAGAGAGAGAAUGUGUGAUCUGGCUCUGUCACCCAGGCUGGAGUGCAGUAGUGCUAUCUUGGGUCACUGCAACCUCUGACUCAUGGUUUCAAGUGAAUUUUCUGCCUCAGCCUCCCAAGUAGAUGGGACUACAGGUGCCUGCCACCACACCCAUCUAAUUUUUUUUUUUUUUUUUUUUUUUAGUAGAGACGGGGUUUUACCUUGUUAGGAUGGUCUCGAUCUCCUGAUCUCAUGAUCUGCCUGCCUGAGCCUCCCAAAGUGCUGGGAUUACAGGCAUGAGCCACUGCGACUGGUCAUGACAUGUCUUAAGUGUUAAAAGCAAUUUACUUUUUUCAACUCUCUUAGUAUUCUAUAUGUCUCUCAGAUCAUUUCGUAAAUAUGGUCACAGAUUUGAUCGUUGUUUACCUGUGUCAGUCCCUUCCUCAGCUGUCAGCUCUCAGCGCAGGACUUGUGUCUAGCUUUUAAAUGUCAAGCAUACUUAGGCCUUUGGGAGCAGAUGGCCCUUUAUCUGACCUAUCUAAUAGGUACCUUAUCAAGCCUAUCAGGCCCUAAGUAAUAACUUUACAAGGGCUUUAUCCAGACUUGGCUGCUACACGGUGGGGUCUAUUUGUCCCACCAGAUGCAUGCAUUUUCCAAGUACCUAGAACUACCAUUUGAUCAGCAAGUUGUGUAUAAUGCAGAUCCAGUGAUUUUCAACCCCCUCAAACCCAAUGUCCCCUUCUUUUUUAUAACACUGUAUACCUCGCCUUUCACUAGACCGAACAAAGAAAACCAUAUGUGACAAUAAAAAAAAAAAAAAAAUGCCCCUACUGUUUUCCAAAACGCCCCCUGGCUGAGAACCUCAGGGGCACCUUCGUUGAGACCCCAGUGCUGCAAGACAGGCUGCAGAUCAAGCCGUGGCUGCACCCUUGGCCUCUGAUGGGGAACAGGGGGGCCCAGAACAGCGCAGGGCUCUAUGGAGCCAAGCCCACUGCGUGAAAACCAACCCACAGGCAGGUGAGGCAGCAGUGAUAAUGUUGAAUCUCAAUAACAGCUUGGAGUGUGUUGUAAUACAAUAUUAUUGUAUCCAUGGAUGUUAACAAGGCAGAGAUGAAAAGGGCUGGGGGAAAGAGUACAUGUAGAAAAGGCUGACAGAGCACUUGCUGCUGACCCGACCCAGAUACUUCUGCCUGCCUUGAAGUGAAGGCCUCCCACCAAAUGCGCCACUUGCACCUUGCUGACAAUGAAGAGGUCCUCCCGCUUCACAGCCUUCUCUUGGAUCUUCUCUUGGAUGGCUUCCCCAACUUCAUGCUCAUUCUGAUACACAUAGGCACAGUCAAUGUGGCGAUAUCCUGCGUCAAUGGCCACCUUCACAGCUUCUUUCACUUUGCCAACAGGAGACUGAAAGGCAGAAGGAAAGCCCAUCACACAUGUAUUUUUUUUUUUUGGUAAGAGACGGGGUCUUGCCAUGUUGCCCAGGCUGGCUGCACACUCCCAGGUUCAAGCAAUCCUCCCACCUCCCGAGUAGCUGGAAUUACACCACACUCAGCAACUAUCAUAUUCUCUUAUCCCCAGACCACCUUCAACAGGCUGCCCAGUUUUUCCCAACCAAGGCCUUACUGGGGUCUCAUUUGCCAGGGGAUAUCUGGGAGGAUACACACUUCAAAAAAGUUUUCAAAAGAAAAGAAGGAAAGUGAAUUAAUUGUAUGAUUAUGGCCUUACGUCCUAUCCUAGCUAAAGAUCAGUUCCCUUCUCAUGCAGGUUAGUCCUGACAUGUUCUCAGGGGUGUGGGAGUGCAGGUGGCUCCACUGCAGCUUUCUGAAGACCCAGGUGAAAGCUCGACUCUAAAUAACCCAGAGGGAUUUUCAGCAACAUCCCCACGUUAAUAGGGAGCUGCAGAACGGUCAUUACAGCAUCAAUCCCGAUUCCAACACUUACUGGGUGCGUGGGCCUAAGCAGGUGAUUCAGUCUCUCUAAACCUCGUCUGCAAAAUGGGAAAAACAAUAGCACCAGCCUCACGAGGCCUUUGUGGCAAUGGCAUGCUGCAAUGAAUGCUAAAUUUUCAGCACGUCACCAGAUAUGCAGUUAAGUCUCAGUAGAGCCCGUCCAUUAUACAAUGAUCGUUUCAGAAAAAAAGGAGAAAUACAAAACCUUAUAGGAAUAGAGCUUCUUUUCCAUUCCUACAAGAAGAAAUAGGGAAGGAGGGAGAGGGGGAGGAGGAGUAAGAGAGAGGAGCAAAAGAAGGGAAAGAAGAAAAGAAAUAGUAUUACCACAUUUUGUUCUAACCCAGUCAAACCAAUGGUGGGGGAAAAAGCACUUAUACCUUGAUCUCUGACAAAAUAGUUUCUAAACCUCUUCUAUUGUGAAAUAACAAACAUUGAAAAGUACACAAAACAGAGAUGCACAGCUACCUACCACUGGGACAAGAAACGGGCUGCUGCCAGCCACCCAGAAGCACCCCUGUGCCCCCAGCUGCUAUGCUAUACCCUUCUGCACCUCCACUGCUAAGUUCAUAAUCCUUCGGUCUAUCAUCCCCACGUGCUGAAGACGGCUCCCUUCCUAAUUCUCACAUUCAAUUCCAAAAUUCUGAAACUGUCUGGAAAACUUACCCAGGGUGAGCGGAUUCCCUGGAGAUCUGGAAGUGAGUAUUUGUUCCAUUUAUAUAGAUUGAAGCUCUGAUUAUGGGCAAACCUUGCUAUUCAAGAAGAGAUGCUGUGAAUGAAUCAAGCGGGAACUGAUCUGAGCGCCCAGAUGGACCAAGAGUGUAUCCCGAGAAUGACCCAGUGCUGCAACAGAGGGUCCUACCCUCCAGCCCAGGACAAGAGAGGGGAAAAAUCAGGGUGCACAAAUGCAAAGAGACUCAGCAGGGAGAUUAGCCAUGAGGGACAGGAGAGAAGAGAAACUCCAAAGUCUGCUUCUUCUAGUCACUAGUUAGUGUAUUGCUAUCAUGGACGGAAAUGGCAGAGAAGGCAGAGUGAGGUGGUGAUGUAACAACUUCAAACUUGGCCUAAGAGAGGCUCAGGAACCUGCUUCACUGAGCCCUGGAUGUGCCUUACCUCGUUUUGCCAGCUGACAUUAACACAGCCAGGUGGAGUUCACAACUCCCAGCCCAGGCUCUCUGCAGUCCCAGCAUGUUGCAGAUUCCACUGUGUCCAGGAAUGACCUAGGGAUCUUGUUAAAGUGCAGAUGCCCAUGAGGUAGCCUGGGGUGGAGCCUGAGACUCUGCAUUUUUUUUCUCUUUCCGUCUCUUCUCUUUCCUUCUCUUCUCUCUCUUCUCUUUCUCACAAGCUCUCACUUUGUUGCCCAGACUGUAGUGCAGUGGCGCAAUCACCGCUCACUGCAGCCUUGACCUCUCAGGCUCGACUCUCAAUCCCCACCUCGGCCUCCCAAGUGGCUGGGACUACAGGUGCAUGCCACCAUGCCCAGCUAAUUUACUUCUUGGUAGAAAUGGGGUCUUGCCAUGUUGCCCAGGCUGGUCUCCAACUCCUGGGCUCAAGCAAUCCUCCUGUCUCCAUCUCCAUCUCCCAAAGUGCUGGAAUUACAAGCAUGAGCCACCACACCCGGCCAGUUCUGCAUUUCUAACAAGCUCUCCCGUCAGAUGGAUGCUGCUAGCCCAACUCCCACACCGUCAUCUGCAGAGGGGUGCCAGGGACUUCCAGGUUUUCAUCCUCUCCUCAACCACCCAGCCCACAACAAACCCACAGCCAAGACUCCGAGGAAACGUUAAGCCCAAUUAAGUAUCCUAGAGCCAGGGAGAGAAACUGCCCUGGAAAACAAUUUGAAGGCCAACUGCUGCUUGAAAUCUGAUACUUGCUAAAACAGCUCUCCUCACUGCUGGGAAAAGCCAGCUUUGGAGCUAUGCAGCCUGAAACAGAAAAUAAAGCAACCUGAGUCCCGGCUCCAGGGCUGAAUCUCACCUCUCCAAACCCCUGCCGGAUCCCCAGGCUUUCCUGGCUGAAUGCAGAGAGAAAACAGCCUAAGGCCCCUCCAGAGAAGAAGGGUGUGCAAAGAUUUGCAUAUUUACCUUCCAAGUGCCCAGGCCCACAAUGGGCAUUUUAGCUUUGGUACUGAGCUCCACAAAGGUGGCCAUGGUUGGUGCAGAAAUGAUUCUGAGUGAGCAGGUAGAAGUCUCACGUCCUGCUUUUUUUGUUGUUUUUGAGACGGAGUCUCGUUCUGUCGCCCAGGCUGGAGCGCAGUAAUGUAAUCUCGUCUCACUGCAACCUCUGUCUCCCAGGUUCAAGCAAUUCUCCCUCAGCCUCCCGAGAAGCUGGGAUUACAGACACCCACCACCACUCCUGGCUAACUGUUGUAUUUUUAGUAGAUUCGGGGUUUCACCGUGUUAGCCAGGCUGGUCUCAAAUUCCUGACCUUAGGUGACCCACCACCUUGGCCUUCCAAAGUGCUGGGAUUACAGGCGUGAGCCCCGUCCUGCUUAAGAAGGCUGGUGCAGCUGCAGUGGGAGGAGUUGGAGCCUGACCACAGUAGCUUCCCCGCCCUAUCCAAACAGGAAAUCCAUUUUCGGCUUUUGUGAGAUUGAGGAUCACUGUGAAUGAAUUAUGAAAUGUGACAACCUUUGCAAAGUUCUACCUUAGAUAACAGUAGUAUUAUCGGAGUUUUUGUUUGCUCAUGAUGACUCAACAAAUUCAACACAGCCAAAAGUUGAAAAGUAGGGAGGGAGACAGGAAGGAAAGAAGAGUGGGGGGAGGGAAGGAAGGAAUGAGGGAAAAGUAAGAAAGACAGAAAAGAGACAGAAAAAGAGGAGAGGAGGGAAGGAGGGAGGAAGGGAAGGAGGGAUGGGAAAGAAAAGGAGAAAAAAAUAAGAAAGAAGCCUGGCCGACAUAGUGAAACCCUGUCUCUCCUAAAAAUAGCCUGGUGUAGUGGCACAAGUCUGUGAUCCCAGCUACUUGCAAGGCUGAGACAGGAGAAUCAUUGAACCUGGGAGGCGGAGGUUGCAGUGAGCCAAGAUCGUGCCACCACACUCCAGCCUAGGUGACAGAGACCCUGUAAAAAAAAAAAAAGGAAGGAAGGAAAAAGGAAGAAAGGAGAGAGGGAGGGAGGGAGGGAGGGAGGGAAGGAAGGAAGGAAGGAAGGAAGGAAGGAAGGAAGGAAGGAAGGAAGGAAGGAAAAGCAAAGCAAAGCAAAAAAGCAAAGAAGGAAGAAAAAACAAGAGCUUUCUUUCCCUGUGAUGGUUUCCUCUGUGAAAUAGAGUCUAGGGAGGAGAGGUGAGAAGCAGCGUUUCCAUUUUAAAAGCUGCAAUUCUAGUUUCAGUGCAGAGAGGGUCAAAUCCUGACCUGAUUAGAAUCAGCCGUAACUAGUUGGUAGUCAGAAAUCUAGGGAACAUGACACAGGCCUGUGCCAUGCUGUGACAGGCCAUGACAGGCCUGUGUCAUGUCACAGCAUCAGUUUCAGCCUGCAGGUAGUAGGUUUUUCUGUCUUUUAUGUGUUCUUGUUUAUGAGUUGGCUUUGGUUGAAUCUUGAAAUGGACUUUAAUCUCUAGGCUGUGGCUUAUGACAGCUCAUAGAGGUCAAUUGCACGUAUGAGUGAAAAAUCUUACACUUCACCGAUGUUUGUUAAAUUACUUCAACAUUAGUAGUACAUGCAUGGGCCAGGCAUGGUGGCUCAUGUCUGUAAUCCCAGCAGUUUGGGAGGCUGGGGCAGGCAGAUCACUUGAGCUCAGGAGUUUGAGACCAGCCUGGCCAACAUGGGAAACCCCGUCUCUGCAAAAAAAAAAAUCCGAAAAUUAGCCGUGUGUGGUAACACAUAACUGUAGUCCUAACUGCUUGGGAGGCUAAGGCAUGAUAAUCACUUGAACCUGAGAGGUGGAGAUUGCAGUGAGCCAAGAUUGUGCCACUGCACUCCAGCCUGAGCGACAGAGUAAGACUCUGCCUCAAAAACAAAUAAAUACAUACAUGCAUGGCUCAUAAUCUGGUGGCCACAAAGUCUCAUGGAUCUGCACAUGAGGGCCCUUUAUUUUCCCAGUGUAUACCGGAUGGCAUGCAAUGCCAGUAUUGUUCAAAUAGCAAAUCCUUUGUGACUGUCAGCCUAAAUAACAGAGAGUGUCCCUCAAAGAAAAGUAUGUCUCUGGGAAUAGAGCACUGCAAUGGGAAUAUGUGUGCCACAGUAAACUAUGUGUAUAUUUGGGGAAAUAAAGAAAGACAACAUUUUUUCAAGGAAAAAAAAUGAAGAUUAUCUAAUUGUUUUGAAAUAAUUAGACUUGGCUACAAAGACCUAUCAUGAAAGUGAUGUUAGUCUGAGACUGGACAGGCAGUUGUUCAGAAGUCCUUGCAGAGUAUGUUUUGUGUUCAGUUGCAGUGGCCUUUGUUCAAAGUUGUGGUUUUUGCAGUCUUUUGUGGUAGUUUUGGUUUUCAGGUGUACAACCAUUAGAACCUUCUUUUUUUUUUUUAGAUGGAGUUUUGCUCUUGUUACCCAGGCUGGAGUGCAAUGGUGCGAUCUCGGCUCACCGCAACCUCUGCCUCCUGGGUUCAAGCAAUUCUCCUGCCUCAGCCUCCCGAGUAGCUGGGACUACAGGCGUUAGCUACCAUGCCCAGCUAAUUUUUGUAUUUUUAGUAGAGACGGGGUUUCACCAUGUUGACCAGGAUGGUCUCGAUCUCUUGACCUCGUGAUCCACCCACCUCGGCCUCCCAAAGUGCUGGGAUUACAGGCGUGAGCCACUGCACCUGGCCUAGAACCUUCUUUUCAGAGUCUCACUCUGUUGCCAGGCUGGAGUGCAGUGGCAUGAUCUUGGCUCACUGCAACCUCUACCCCCUAGGUUCAAGAGACUCUCCUGCCUCAGUCUCCUGAGUAGCUGGGACUACAGGUGCACACCACCACACCCAGCUAAUUUUUGUAUUUUUAGUAGAGAUGGAGUUUCAGCAUGUUGGCCAGGAUUGUCUUGAACUCUUGACCUCGUGAUACGCCCACCUCAGCCUCCCAAAGUGCUGGAAUUACAGCCCUGAGCCACUGCACCUGACCUGUCAGAGUAUUUUGUUUGUUUUUAACGUUAGUGACUCCAUUUUGAUUCUGACCAUUUUCCCAUGGCACACAGAAUAAAGAAAUGUGUAUUAGUCAUAAUAAUAUUCCUUCUAGAACCACCUAACUGUGAAUUGGUGAGGAGGGAGAUCUCUUUGAGAUAGUUGGGGUUAAGCUGGUUUUUGUGUAACAAACCAGCUGGUUAUAACAGCAACAAUUUAUUUGCUCAUGAUUCUGUGGGCUGGCAAUUUGGGCUGGAAGUAGCUAAUGAGCCGGUCUCAGAACACACGUGGCUUCAGCGGGGCUUCCUCACCUCUUUGGGCUUCAUUUGUGUGGGAUGGGAUGUCAGGGAAGGCAGGGACCCCUCUUCACAUGUUUUUCGUUUUCCAUGAGGCUAAUUUAGACUUGUUCAUACUAGCAGCCUUGUAGGAGGUCUACCCUUGGAAUGUGUACAAUGUUACUUUUGCCACCUUCUAUUGAUCAAAGCAAGUCUCAAGGCCAGAACAGGGCCAAGGAAUAGGAGAAUUGAUUCGACUUCCUGAGGGGAUUUGUUACAAAGAAUUUUGGCUAUUCUUAAUCAAUCCCAGAAGGUUUUUAAUAAAAGCUUUAUUAGCUACUUUCUAGCUUCAUUAAUUUACCAAUCUAUUCCUGGUUUUGUACCUUUAAGAAACUCUCAUUUUUUAAAUCUGAUGAUUAUAUGUGCAUAAGAAGUUUUACUUUGUUAAAAAUGAAUACAUACAAAAAUUGAGAGAAUUUUUUUUAUUUUUAUUUUUUUUUUCUUUUCUUUUCUUUUUUUUUUUUAAAGAAAGAGAAAGAGAAAAGGGGAGAGAGAACAGGAGUCUUGCUCUAUUGCCCAGGCUGUAAUGCAAUCUAGAAAUAGGUAUUAAAAACCUCUUUUAUGCUGAUGAUUGUGCUUAACAGCGGAGACAGGAAGGAAUAAGGAAAGAAAAUAACCAACAGCCAACCAAUAUUUUGUUUAAAUCUGUGAAAUGCUGUGCAAGUGCUGAAGAGUGAUUUGCUUCCAUUUAUGUGGUCACUUUCAAAAUAGGUGUAGGCCAGGCAUGGUGGCUCAAGCCUGUAAUCCCAGCACUUUGGGAGGCCGAGGCGGGUGGAUCACAAGGUCAAGAGAUCGAGACCAUCCUGGUCAACAUGGUGGAACCCCGUCUCUACUAAAAAUAUAAAAAAUUAGCUGGGCAUGGUGGUGCGUGCCUGUAAUCCCAGCUACUCAGGAGGCUGAGGCAGGAGAAUUGCCUGAACCCAGGAGGCGGAGGUUGCGGUGAGCCGAGAUCGCGCCAUUGCACUCCAGCCUGGGUAACAAGAGCGAAACUCUGUCUCAAAAAAGAAAAAAACAAAAUAGGUGUAAUAUGAUAUUAAAAAAAAAAAUGUAUGUUCUGUGGUCCUGGGGUGAAGAAUUCUACAAAUAUUCCACUGAGUUUACUUGUUCCAGGUCUGAGUUCAAAUCGUAAAUGUCUCUGUUAAUUUUCUAUCUCAUUGAUCUGUUGAAUAUUAACAAUGUGGUGUUAAAGUCUCUUGCUAUUAGUGUGGGAGUCCAAGUCUCUUUAUAAGUCAUUGAAAACUUGUCUUAUAAAUCUGGGUGCCCCUAUAUUGGGUAUAUAUAUAUUUAUGAUCAUUGGCUCCUAUUGUUGCAUUGAUCUUUUUAUCGUUAUGUGAUGUCCUUCUUUGUUUCUUUUAGUCUUGGUUACUAUUGUCUAUUUUGUCAGAGACGAACGUUACAACUCCUGUUUUUUUGUUUGUUUGUUUGUUUGUUUUGUUUUUCUUUCCUCUCCAUUUGAUUGGUGAGUCUUCCUCCAACCUUUUGUUUUGAGUCUUUGUGUGUUCUUGCUUAUGAGAUGGAUCUGGAUACAGAGUGCUGAUGUGUUUUGACUUUUUAUUUAGUUUGCGUGUCUGUGUCUUUGAUGGGGGGGGUUAAUCCAUUUAAAUUGAGGAUUAAUACUGAUAUUUGUGAGUUUAAUAUUGUCGUUUAAUGCUAGCUGGCUAUUUUGCCCAUUGGUUGAUAUAGAUUCUUCAUUAUGGAGAUACUCUUUACCUUUUGGUAAGUUUUUGGGAUGACUGAUACUGGUUGUUCCUUUCUGUGUGCAGUGCUUCUUUCAGAAGCUCUUGUAGAGCAGGCCUGGUGGUGAUGAAAUCUCUGAGUGCUUGCUUGUUCGUGAAAAAUUUUAUUUUUCCUUCAUUUAUAAAGUUUAGUUUGGCUGGAUAUGAGAUUCUGGGUUGAAAAUUCUUUUCUUUGAGGAUAUUGAAUAUUAACCCCCACUCUCUUCUAGCUUGUAGGGUUUCUGCUGAGAAAUCUGCUAUAAGUCUGAUAGGCUUCCCUUUAUGGGUAACCUGACCAUUCUCUCUAGGGAGAAAAUUAUUUUGUAGAAAAAAAAUGAACGGGCUGGGCGCGGUGGCUCAAGCCUGUAAUCCCAGCACUUUGGGAGGCCGAGGCGGGUGGAUCACGAGGUCAAGAGAUCGGGACCAUCCUGGUCAACAUGGUGAAACCACGUCUCUACUAAAAAAUUAGCUGGGCAUGGUGGCGCGUGCCUGUAAUCCCAGCUACUCAGGAGGCUGAGGCAGGAGAAUUGCCUGAACCCAGGAGGCGGAGGUUGCGGUGAGCCGAGAUCACACCAUUGCACUCCAGCCUGGGUAACAAGAGCGAAACUCCGUCUCAAAAAAAAUAAAAAAAAUAAAAAGAAAAAAAAUGAACAAGGAGUAGUGCCAUUUUUCAUUCUCUCAUCUAUUUCUUUAAGAAACAGAGGCAGCAGCAAUUAAUAUAUCUGAGAAAGGGAGGAAAAGAACAAUUCCAAAAAUCGUGGGAGUGAAGGUAAGUUUCUGGGCAGGAGAACAGUGUGAGCCAAGCCGGGGGAGAGACUAAGACACAUUGAAAGAACUGAAAACCAGUGUGAGGACGCUCAGAGAGUAGACUUACAGGGUACCCAGCAGAGGUACAGCUAGAGUGGUAUGCAGGAACCCAAGGGUCAGGAGCUGCAAAGGGGGAUCACGGAGGUGGAUUUACCAUACAAAACUUGACCUUCAGUCACCCUCCUGUGUAUGAGCACCAUCUUAGGCUUUAUACCUAAUACUGAAUUCUUAAUUUUUUAUUCUUUUUAUUUAAAGGAAAACCCCUGAUCAGACACGGUGGCUCAUACCUGUAAUCCCAGCACUUUGGGAGGCUGAGGUGGGCAGAUCACGAGGUCAGGAGAUCGAGGCCAUCCUGGCUAACAGAGUGAAACCCCAUCUCCAUUAAAAAUAUAAAAAAUUAGCUGGGCGUGGUGGCACACACCUGUAGUCCCUGGGAGGUUGAGGCAGGAGAAUCACUUGAUCCCAGGAGGCAGAGGUUGCACUGAGCUGAGACCACACCACUGCACUCCAGCCUGGUGACAGAGCGAGACUCUGUCUCCAAAAAAAAAAAAAAAAAAUAUAUAUAUAUAUAUAUAUGAAGGAAAACCCCAAUCGUACAA